rnacentral:rRNA from 1 species
CAGUAGCCACGGUAACACGAAGGGGGCUAGCGUUGUUCGGAAUUACUGGGCGUAAAGCGCACGUAAGCGGAUAUUUAAGUCAGGGGUGAAAUCCCAGAGCUCAACUCUGGAACUGCCUUUGAUACUGGGUAUCUUGAGUAUGGAAGAGGUGAGUGGAAUUCCGAGUGUAGAGGUGAAAUUCGUAGAUAUUCGGAGGAACACCAGUGGCGAAGGCGGCUCACUGGUCCAUUACUGACGCUGAGGUGCGAAAGCGUGGGGAGCAAACAGGAUUAGAUACCCCUGUAGUCCCUGUCUCUUAUAC